GAUGAACGCUAGCGACAGGCCUAACACAUGCAAGUCGAGGGGCAGCACAUGAGUAGCAAUACGAUGGUGGCGACCGGCGCACGGGUGAGUAACACGUAUGCAACCUGCCUGUAAGAGGGGGAUAACCCGGAGAAAUUCGGACUAAUACCGCAUAAUACCACGAGACUGCAUGGUUUUGUGGUUAAACAUUUAUGGCUUACAGAUGGGCAUGCGUUCCAUUAGGUAGUUGGCGGGGCAACGGCCCACCAAGCCAUCGAUGGAUAGGGGUUCUGAGAGGAAGGUCCCCCAACGGGUACUGAGACACGGACCCGACUCCUACGGGAGGCAGCAGUAAGGAAUAUUGGUCAAUGCCCGCAAGGGUGAACCAGCCAUUCCGCGUGGAGGAUGAAGGCCCUAUGGGUUGUAAACUUCUUUUAGAUGGGAAGAAAAUGCUAGAUGUAUCUGGUACUGACGGUACCAUCAGAAUAAGCACCGGCUAACUCCGUGCCAGCAGCCGCGGUAA
rnacentral:rRNA from 1 species